GAAUCACUUGUCUUUUAAAUGGAGACCUGUAUGAAAGGCGACACGAGGGCAAAUCUGUCUCCCCCCUCCAGUCAAUGAAACUGAUCUCCCCGUGCAGAAGCGGGGAUACAACCACAAGACGAGAAGACCCUGUGGAGCUUCAGACUUUGGUAAGCCUGCCUCAACCCCUCUGACAAAGGAGGGUUAACACAGCAUCCCCUUAUUUAAAUGUCUUUGGUUGGGGCGACCACGGAGAUAAUUUUAACCCCCGCGGGGAUAGGGACUUUCCUAUAACCCAGAGCUACAGCUCUAAGUGUCAAGACUCUUGACCUUCUAUGAUCCGGCCCGCCGAUCAACGAACCAAGUUACCCCAGGGAUAACAGCGCAAUCCUCUUUUAGAGCCCA
rnacentral:rRNA from 1 species